rnacentral:rRNA from 1 species
GAUGAACGCUGGCGGCGUGCCUAAUACAUGCAAGUCGAGCGAACGGACGAGAAGCUUGCUUCUCUGAUGUUAGCGGCGGACGGGUGAGUAACACGUGGAUAACCUACCUAUAAGUCUGGGAUAACUUCGGGAAACCGGAGCUAAUACCGGAUAAUAUUUUGAACCGCAUGGUUCAAAAGUAAAAGACGGUCUUGCUGUCACUUAUAGAUGGAUCCGCGCUGCAUUAGCUAGUUGGUAAGGUAACGGCUUACCAAGGCAACGAUGCAUAGCCGACCUGAGAGGGUGAUCGGCCACACUGGAACUGAGACACGGUCCAGACUCCUACGGGAGGCAGCAGUAGGGAAUCUUCCGCAAAGGGCGAAAGCCUGACGGAGCAACGCCGCGUGAGUGAUGAAGGUCUUCGGAUCGUAAAACUCUGUUAUUAGGGAAGAACAUAUGUGUAAGUAUCUGUGCACAUCUUGACGGUACCUAAUCAGAAAGCCACGGCUAACUACGUG